rnacentral:rRNA from 1 species
UACAGAGGAGCCAAGCGUUGUCCGGAUUGACUGGGCGUAAAGCGCACGCAGGCGGUGCUGCGCGUGGGGUGUGAAAUCUGGCCGCUUAACGGCCAGGCGCCAUCCCAUACGGCAGUACUUGAGCCGUGCAGAGGGCGGUGGAAUUGCCGGUGUAGUGGUGAAAUGCGUAGAGAUCGGCAGGAACACCCAGGGGGAAACCAGCCGCCUGGGCACGCGCUGACGCUGAGGUGCGAGAGCGUGGGGAGCGAACCGG